AACACACAGUUUUGGUCCUAGACUUGUCUCUAUUUAUAGUCAAAAUUAUACAUGCAAGUAUCCGCCCCCCAGUGAGAAUGCCCAAGUACCUAGGAGCCGGCAUCAGGCACGACCAGUCAGCCCAUAACGCCUUGCUACGCCACACCCACACGGGUUCUCAGCAGUAAUAAAUAUUAUGCAAUGAGCAACAAAGCUCGACCUAGUUAUGAUUUAAAGGGCCGGUCAACCUCGUGCCAGCCACCGCGGUUAUACAAGGGGCCCAAAAUAGAUAAAGCCCGGCGUAAAGGGUGAUUAGAAAAUGCUCAAUACCAAAAUAAUAACCAUGUUCUAAUCGUAAAACAUAGAACAAAUGAAAACCUUAAUUUUGUAUUAUAGAAAUUUGACCCCACGAAAACUAAGAAACAAACUAGGAUUAGAUACCCUACUAUGCUUAGUCCUAAAUAAGAUAUAAAAACACAACUAUAUCCGCCAGAAAAUUACAAGCGAAAAGCUUAAAACCCAAAGGACUUGGCGGUGCUCCACACCUCCUUAGAGGAGCCUGUCCUAUAAUUGAUAAUCCACAAUAAACCUUGCCCUCCAUUGCCCCACAGCCUAUAUACCGCCGUCGUAAAUCCACCUUAUGAAAGACAAACAGUGGGUAUAAUAACUAACAAGCUAAUACGUCAGGUCAAGGUGUAGCUAAUAGGAGGGUAGAGAUGGGCUACAUUUUUUAACAUUAAAACAGACGGCAAAGUAUUAUGAAAUACUACUAAAAGGCGGAUUUAACAGUAAGAUUAAUAAGAGAGUUAAUCUUAAAACUGCCCUGGAGCGCGCACACACCGCCCGUCACCCUCAUCAAUUCCAUAACCCCAUUUAUAAUAUCUGAUACUAAAAAAGAUGAGGAAAGUCGUAACAUGGUAAGCAUACCGGAAGGUGCGCUUGGACCUACCAAAAAGUAGCUUAAACAAAGCACUCAGCUUACAAUUGAGUUACGCCAAGGCCUUUUUGCGCUAGGCCCUUAGCCCAAUAAUUAAUAAACAUAUCAAUAAACAAAAACAAACCAUUUGACAAAACUAGUAAAGGUGAUUAAAC
rnacentral:ncRNA from 1 species